rnacentral:rRNA from 1 species
AUUGAACGCUGGCGGCAGGCUUAACACAUGCAAGUCGAGCGAGUGGCGGACGGGUGAGUAAUGUCUGGGAAACUGCCUGAUGGAGGGGGAUAACUACUGGAAACGGUAGCUAAUACCGCAUACCAUCAGAUGUUCCCAGCUGGGAUUAGCUAGUGGGUGGGGUAAAGGCUCACCUAGGAGACGUUCCCUAGGUGGUCUGAGAGGAUGACCAGCCAACCUGGAACGGAGACACGGCCCAGACUCUUAGGGGAGGCGGCAGAGGGGAAUAUUGCCCAAGGGGCGCAAGCCUGAUGCAGCCAUGCCGCGUGUAUGAAGAAGGCCUUCGGGUUGUAAAGUACUUUCAGCGGGGAGGCGUUACCCGCAGAAGAAGCACCGGCUAACUCCGUGCCAGCAGCCGCGGUAAUAC